AUCUAUCUUCUCCACACCUAUUCCCAGAGCUUCCUUGACUGUGCAGAGAGAGAGGCAGAGCUGCAGCAGGAGUGACCGUGAUAAAACGAGGGGCCAGGAGGGAGCAUGGUGUGCUGCAAGGGAAGAUGAGUAACAGCAGCACCUGCAGCUCUCCGAUAGCACUGCCCAUCCCUUGGCCGUGCCUGUGGGCCCUGGUGCUGCUGCAGGCUCUCUGGCUCCAUGCCAGACACUGCUGGGGCAUCCGUUGAGUUUCUUAUCCUCCCCUGACAGCUGCUGGUGUCCUUUGGCACUUUGGAGCCAAGGGCAAAAACAACCCUUCCUUGGGGUGGAUGUGGGAGGAGUAUGACUGGCAAUGCAUCCAGUUGAAGCUGUUCCUGGUGCCGGGGUGUUGAAAUGCUGUAAACCCUUAACUGUCAAGUCCUCCAGUAUCACUGGGUUAGAAAGGAGAUCCAAGACGGACACAGGGAGGGAACCAGUUUGAAGCUCAAGGAAGGAGACCCCCAGCUCUCUGUGAAGGAUGGGCGUGAGCUGGCAUCGAGUCAGAACGUCCUUGUGAAGGUGGGAGAGAACUGGAGCGUUGGGGCUCCUCCGCCUUUGAAACCACCUUUGUGUGAGCAAGAACUGGAGCUGUCCUGCAAAGGAGACGUGUAUGGGCUUUGCUAUGGAGAACAACAGCUCUUCUGUGGCUGACAGCCUAACACUGGGAUGAAGAGCACCCCACACGUGGCUGAUCUGGAGGCUGCUGCAGUUGCCAGAGCGGGACCCAAGCAUGGAUGAUCCUGAGAAAUCUGCACAGCGACGGCCCCUGGACUCCCCUGACUGGGAAGAGGUUAAUUUAAACAGCCUGAAAAGCAGCAAAGGGAAAAGUCAUCUUUCAUGAGAUGGAACUGUGACUGUCCCUUUCUGAGGAACAGCCCUGUACCAGGGGUGCAAGCUAGCAUGUGGUCCUACCCUUUGCAAGAUCCUUUGUGUAUGCAGCCUCCGAUUCCUUCUCCUCCAGUUCCUUAUCUUAGCUUGUAAAACAUGCUGCAUAUGGCCAACAAGGCUAUCUGUGUCUGGCUUACGUGCAAACCUGGAGACAUCUCUGCACAAAUCACCACUGACUUGCAAAAUCCUCCAGCCCUCUGCUGCCUUAUUGUCUUUGUGGUCACAUGCGCUCUAUUUGCUGUGGGUCGUUUACUGCCAACCUUGGAGGAAUGUCAGUAACUGGAAAGCUGAGCUUUCUCCUUUCUGUUUUGUCAGUCAGGGUGUCCAUCAGCAGAUGUAGCAGGGUACUGGAGGACUACAGCCUGCAUGGGUCACGCCUUCAGCUGAAAUGGCACCAGGCAUAGACCAGGUGCCCACACAGGGGAUUUCAGACCACAGCCUGCAUUUGUAGGGCAACUGGGAGGAAAAUGUCUUGUUGAUCAACUGAACUCCACUGAUGCUCACUGAUGUUCUCUUUAUUGUGCCAUAGGGAAGGUUUGUAUGUUCACAUUUACACCUUGGAAGACCAUUUCCAGGGCAUGACAAUGAGCACAUUUUAGCCGAUUAUUUUGAACAGAAGGGUGCUGGGCUGGGGAGCAUCCCUCAGGACCAGGAUGGGGAUCCUAGUGGCCAGGUGGGCUGGAAGGCUCUGUACUGAACUGUAGGGACAGUGCUGGAGGCUUGGAGGAGAAAAUGGAGACACACCAUGGCUGAAUGUUUUGGUCAACCUCUUGCCAGACUCAGAGUCUGUACCAGAGCUCCUAAAGGACAGAGCUCAUGUCUUCCUCUGACUCUUCAGCAGCAUGCUUGAUGUUUGUAGGCCAGAAGUGUUCACAUGUGAACACGGUGAGCAGCUCAGCAGCUGAGAGGUGUCAGCUUCUUGCUCCCUUUGAACCACUUGUGCAAGAAACCCCUCGUGUGGUUACUGCCUGGCUGGUAGCUCGUCACCACACCGUGCUAGGCCACUGUGCUGCAGAACAGCAGAACAACUGUGCUUCUAGACAUGCUGCUGACACCACAACAUCCUUGACCAGGCUGGUGCAUGCCCUGCAUCCUCUGAGGUGGUUUCAGGGUGUGUUUGUCUUCAGACAAAAAGCAAUGCUCUGCAUGCCUCCAGAGAGGGUCUGCUGUCUGCUCUCAAGUGAGAGGCAGGAUGUGCAAGCAAAGUCAGGCUUGGUGUCACCAAACCCAGACUCAUUUCCUCCUCCCAGUGUUCGAGGCUCUCUGGAGCAGAGGUUGGACCUGAGACUCAUUUGUAGCCCUCAGCAAACUUCUCAUAAACAGGAAAGAGCACUGUGGGGAGGACGACAAGACAGCAAUCAGUUCUGCUCUGUCUUUUGUUCUUCCCCUCCUCUUUUGUCUUAAGACUAACAAUGCCUUGUUUGAUUUGUUGCACGGACAGCUGCCAGAUGGAAGUAAAACUGUCCUUCAAGAGGGUGGCAGUCCUCAACGGGAUGGUCAUGGCCUCAUCCUGCCUGCAGCUGCGGAAAUGCCACCUACUGGGCCUGCUUCUGGCCUGCAGCCGCUGUGCUUGAGGAAGGCUGCAUGCCGGGAGGGAGGCCCUAGAGAUGCUAUCAAGUGACAAGGACCUUGGGCUCUUUGCCUGGGUUGUGUUCUCUUCCCCAGACUUUCCAGAUCAGAAUAGCGGAGGGAGCCUUCCUUACUGGGGCAUCAGACACCGUGCGGGGUGUUAUCUCAGCCCUGUGACAGCUCAUUGUUUGGUUUCCUUCCGUAAUGUCACUGUGGUGAAGGAGAGAGAAAACUUUUGCUUUCCAACUGUUCUCUCUGUUUUUUGUUUGUUUGUUUGUUUGUUUUGCUGCAGCCCCCUGUGCCUGCUGGUAGCUUCCUCAAGUGCCUGAAGCUGAUUGGGAAAUAGUCCCUGCUGUUAUUGAGGCUUGUCCUGCUCUGGAGGGUGAUGAGCUCCAUGGCAGGAAGCUGCUCUCUCAAAGCAGAUCUCUUCAAAAUUAAAGAGAAGAGUUGGUUCUCUUCUGCAUAAUUUGCUCCUUGGCCUUCAAGAUUUAACAUCCAUUGAAAGUAGGGAUGGCUGAGCUGGUGUGACGCAGUUUGUCCUGCGUACAGGAGGCAUGGCCUAGAGAUAAGGACACUCAACUGAAGCAAGAAGUAGGAGCCAGAUCUCUGCUGAAUUCCCAGAUUACUAAGACUCAUUUUUCUCCACUUCUUUCUAGCUCUAUGAGUCUUGCUUUUGUGACUGCCUGUUGGGUCAUCCUCAACAAGGCAAGCCUGGACCCAGUAACACCAGUGUCCCCCUGUUUAAGUCACCUUCCUGCAACAUGGGGAGUUGAAUCCUUUCCAGGUGGAGGAGAAACUUUUAUUUCUCAUAUCAUGGGUGAGCUGCCGCCAGUGAGCAGUACUGUGCAGUGCAGCUUCUAGUGGCUAUUUUCAGGUACUGUAAUGCCUCAGCUGACUAUUUGUGACUUAUCUUUGACACAUGGGGAUGCACCAGCAGAGAUUCCUGAUUCCUCCUUGGCAGCUAAAAUACCAACAAAAACAGCAUGGAAGUGUCCUUCCUUCCACACCUCCCCACGACCCUAACAGAGGUGUGUGAGGAUUUAGAUUCCUUACAUGCCUGCAAGGCACUCAGCUCAGCUCAAGAGCCUCAUCACAAAGUUAUUAUAGCCUGUGUGCUCCUCAGUGGGUGUGAAGUGGUUAAUGACUGACUUGUAAAACUGCUCUGUGCAUGGGUGAACUGUGUAGGUGUUUUCAGAAACAGCUGUGCCAGUUUCCCCUGUCAGGAUGGGCUUGGGUGCUGGCCAACUUUCCUGUCACUCUCUGUUUGCAAAGCUUUGUGUGAUUGAGUUUUGGUUUUUGAAAUCCGUCAGGUACAACUGAAAUUCAAAAGCUGAAAGCUUGAAAAGCUGAAAGUUUUUAGUAUUAUUUCAGAGCUUGCUUGGUUUUGCAGGAUUCAUCACUGUGAAUAUCAGUGUUCUGGAACUCUGUCACAUGAUGAAAUCAACCUACUACUGCUAAGAAGCACCAGUUUGUAACUUAAACACUGAUUAUGCCAGGAGGAGAAGCCCAAAUCCAUUUAGAUGAUGCUCAUCAAAGAUCUCUGUGGUCUAGGUCUAUGGUCUAUAUAUGGUGCCUGGAAAGCUGGGCUUGAGUAUGUGUAGGAACUACUAAAUAGGCCAUUUUGACACCCUAGUUUUUGAUGUCCUACAUCGUAACUCCUACAGUGCAUUUAGCAGCUUGUGUGAAAGUCUCUCUAGAAAGUACUGUCUUCUGUCCACUGAAAAUGCAUUUGUUCAUCCAUCACAGAAGCCCCUGGCAGGUGCCCUGGAGGUUUUCAAGGAACAUGUAAACGUGGCACUGAGGGACAUGGUUAGUGGGCAUGGUGGAGAUGGGCUGAUGGCUGGACUGGAUUACCUUAGUGGUCUUUUCCAACCUAAAUGAUUCAGUUAUUCUUUACAGCCACAUGUGGUCAAGGCCUGGAAAAAUCUCUUCUAGGUCAGAGAAGUGGACUGCUUUUACCUCAAUGGACUCAUUUCCUGAGGACAGUAUACCUCAAUGGACUCAUUUCCUGAGGACAGUAACAGGUGAGAUAGAUUUUGUGCACCACACCCAACAUGGCCCAUGCAAUACGGUUUGCUGUCUGCUGUUCUCAAUUCCCAGACUUUGUUCUCCAAGCUAUUGAACUUGUCACGUCCCCCUGACGCUGAUAUUUUAGGAGAAACUAGAGGCUUCUGGAAUGAUUUGUUCCCAUACAAAACUGGAAAUGAGUUUCCACCCACUGAUACUAUUUAUAAGCAAGUAGUAGCAGCAUUAAACUAGAAUCCCUGCUGUUCCUGAUGCUACUCAAGGAAUACAUGGUUGUUACUGUCCCAUUACGGGCCCGGUGGGUGUGAAAGGUGCGGCUCAUUUUGAACCAUUUCUUGUUUAUUCUUAUCACUCUUGAACACCUGUGAGUCAGAGGUCUGUCUCUGGCUUUCUUUCCUUCUCUCAGUCUACAUUUGCAGACUAAAAUGGUGGUUUUCUGGUAGAUCUUGUCACUUCUAUGUAAUUUGGCCAUUUCAGAAUGAAAUACGUAAAUGAACUUAGGCUGCUAAUUGCCCUGUCCUCUGCACUUGUUAUGGGUGACAUCUGGGCGCAUUGGUAUGAGUUGUGAACAGUCAUGCUUUCUGCAAAGAACCUAAGCCAGAACUGGAGGAAAUUAAAUCUACAGAUAGAAGGAUGUAUUUCUGGUGCCACUGCAACCAGGGACCCAUCCCUCCCUUAGCUUUUUUUUUCAAGCUGAAGAGUUGAUUCAGUUACUUGGCAGUUGGGUGCCAUUUCAAGCCUUUUGCUAUCUCCUUAUUGAGAAAAUUGACUAGGGCUGCCUAAAAUUUCCAAUUUCCUUUUUAUUUUCUUUGCCUUGCUCUAGUUAUUCCUAUCAUUCUCUUUUUCAAAGCGACUGAGCUGGAAUUUUCAGAUGAUUGCUCACAAUGACUCUGGUCCUUUUACUUUCUGUGUAUGGCUAAUGUGAUUUCUCCCACACAGAUUAACCUAUGCUUAUUGACACUGCAUUUUACCAGUGGUUUCAUUGCCUGGUCACUCAGCAUCAUGUCACAGUUAUUCAUAUUCAGAUUUAGAUCUCAAAAUCCUGGAUAACUUACAGCAGCUGGUCACUUGAUCAUUUGAUUGCUCAUCCCUUUUCCAGAUCACUGUGAUGGUAGUGAACAGAAGAAAUUCAGCAUAAAUUCUCAGGGGACUUUCCAGAAGCUUAUUAUAUAAAUGUUACAUAUGUAUACACACAAAAAUGUACACAAAGAAACAUAUGCAUGCAUGUGUACAUGCAUUAUUAUAUGUAUGUGUGCAUACAUAUAAUAAUUUAUGCCUACUUUUAACUUCCAGUAUUUCAUUCUUAUGAGUUUAUGAUAUUUCAUGACAGUAAUUUCUUUAAGAACCUUUACUGGGAGAGAGAAUUCAGCUGCCUGUGUUUUUCAAAAACUGGCUGCAGUGAAUCAGUAGAACAGCUCUAGCCCUCAUGUCUGACAACCUUCCAGAAAUAUCUGAUGGAUUUGUGAGGUAUGGCGUGUCUUUAUAAAAGCUAUGUUGACUUCCACUGACCAAUUGAUCCAUUGAGCUAUCUACUUCACACAGACACACAAGUUGAAGAGGGCUUCUGGAGUUCUGUGGUCCAAUCUCACAUUGAAAGCAACCAACUCUGCUGUUGUCUGGCUAAGUCUUGGAAACCCCCAAAGGUAAAGUUCUUACCUCCUCUCCAGAUGUAGGUCUCAGAGCUGCACCAUCCACCUCCAGGAAAAAAAAAACAAGUGUCCUAGUGGCCAAUCUGAGCUUCCUAAGUGCAGUCUAGCAACCUCUUCUUCUACCCUUUAUUACUGUUCCUCACUUGACUUUUCACCACUGCCAAGAAGAAUUUGAUUCCAUUAUUUAUUGCUCUUCUUCAAGUAGUUUGAUUUUUGGAGACUCUCCAUCCUUGACAAUAUUGACAGCUGGAGCAGACUGCUCAGAAGUUGAGUCCUCUGCUCUGAACAGAGGUUAGAGUAGGGGUCUCCAGAAGCCCCUUCCAACACGAAUUAUUCCAUAAUUCUAUAGUCAGGCUGGACUCCAGUAGUGAGUUUCUCCUCAAGGGAAGUCCAAGGUGAUUUGUUAGGAGGUAUCAUCUACUAUAUCUUGGCACUCCAGAAACAGUUUGAAAAUUUCCAAGACACGUAUUGUUGAGUAUCCUUGGCAUACCGGAGCAAAGUGAGCAAAACAGCACAGGAAGUGCUUUUCACACAUUUCCUCCAUGCGUUCAGUUGAGAUGCCUGUAUUAGGAAAGAGGUUGCAAACUGAUAUUCUGCCACUGUCUCAUUUUGAGUUGUUCGUCCAUUUUUUGAUUCAGUGUUUGUUCGAAUGAAAUGCUGACUGGAAAACAAAGCUUAUGUCAGCCCUUACCAGCAGAGCAUUCUUUUGAAGGUAAAGAGCUGUAAGGCAGCAUGAUAGGAACAGUGAGUCCUAUCAGAGCCAGCAGCAAAACACUUAAAUGCUGAAAUAGUUCAGCAUCUGCUGAGAGCAAGAACUAUCCAUAUAAAAGACACUAAUCUGUCAUAGACUUUAAAGCUAGAAGGGAUUAUGAUGAUCUUUCUCUCUAACCUCCUACAUAAUUCAGACCAUACGAUAUCAUUUCACAUCAAGCUCUUAUCUUCCAAAUGAGCCUGAAAAAGGCAUCCACUCUUGACUGAAGUACUGACAGUGAUGAAGAUUCCACCCUAUCUUUGGGAGAUGAUGGUAAGAUUAGUUAUCCUGACAGUUAUGAAAAAUACAGUCUAUUUCAGUGCUUUGUUUCAGCUUUCAUCCACUGGCAUUUGUGAUGCUUUUUGGUGAAUUAUGUGCUUUUCUACUAUCAGGAAGUUUGGCUACCAAGAGUAAUUUUGACCAGCUUUCUUACCUUUUUUCAGUGUGUGGUCAAAGCCUCAGAAGGACCCAGAAGAACUAUUUCUGGCUGGGUUGUAGACGUUUCAGAUAACCUUGACCUUAGCUUGUUUCUGCUAAUGGUGAUCCUCUGUAGAACUGAGAUAAUGAUACUUCCCUCCCUCUCACAGGUGUUGACUGAGAAAAAAAGACCAUUAAAAUUUCUCACAUGCUACAGUGGGAGGAAAAUAGUGGGUCACACGGAGAUCAGAGGCUGGAUAUUACAUUCCAAGAUGUAGUUUAGUGCAGCAAUCUUAUCUACUGGAAACUGAAGUCCUCUCAUAUUGCUGCAAGAUAUGAGCUGCAUUUUCAUGUAUGGAUAGUGGUGCUCUGAAUCAAAAGACAAUAUCUGAAAACAUUUGUAUAGAGUGGUAGUUGAAUAUCUGUGAAAGAGAGAAGAUAUUUGGGGACAGUAGGGGAUAAUUGCUUUCUUUGUAGGGGACAUUGAGAUAAGGCAAUGUAGAUCAAGUGAAGACUAUUUCUCAUAGCAAAACACUUACCAAGAUGUAAAAACAGAAGCUCAUCUAUUUGAUUCAGUUCAUCUGUCUACUCUAAAUGGAGCGUUUAUUUGUAAUGGAGCCAGUGGUCUCAGUUAUCAGCCAUACCUUUUACAGUCAAAGCCUAGACCAAAAUAGCUUCCAAGUCCUUCUGAUUUUCUAUUUUUGUCAGUGAUCUGCUUAAAUGCUGAGGACACUCAGACCAAUCUAAUUGGCUAAGCAUCUGUGCUAGAGGAGUGGAUCACCUCCCUAUAUUUAAAAUGAACAUAUAUAUGAUGUCCUUGGGGUGGGAGAGCAGGGGUGUCUCGUGCUGCCAACUGCUGAGUCAUGGCUGAAAACCAAGGAAGAUGAACCACUCAGCACAAGGCUGGUGUCUCCUAUACUGUUGCUCUGUGGUGCUCAAGAUGUGAAGUACUAUGUUGGGAUGAGUUGAGAUAGAAGAUGAUCUCCCUGUUUUGCCUCCCAUGCUAGGGUCAGCUUUUUUUCAGCCCUGGUGACCAAGUCUGGAUGGAGCUUUGCUGAUGAUGGGGAAUGACUCAGUGGCAUGAGACUCCCCUCAGCCAUGUGUCAGGGAGUAGGUCUUUGUAGAUCAAAUAAGACCUUCAACUGAAAUUCAAAGGAGGUUUUUCCUGUUGUCCACUGUUUUCUGUUAUGCAUAAGUGAUAUAGAUGGCUUUAUUUUCUAGAGUCCCAAAUGCAUGUGAUGCUGAGCUGAUAUUUAGGCUAAAAAUCAACAGCCCAGAUGUCCAUCCCCAUUUUGAUACACAGGGAGUGAAAGACUAAUUCAUUUGGCUCUCUUCUUUCCCGUUGACAAGUUAUUAUAAACAGAGAUGUGUCCAAGUCUGUAUCACAAAAAUUGUUUAUCCUCUAUGGUAAAAACAGAUAUGGAAACAGAAAUCUGAGACUUCUUCCAGAUUACUCUGGGUUAAAGGCUUUGGUCAA
ensembl:lncRNA